GGUCUCGUGGUCUAGUGGUAUGAGUACGUACUGCCAGCUCCCGAUCUUCGUCCAACCUGCUAACCUGCAUUAGUUCUCGCUUAGGGUACACUCUAAGCUCAAUUGCGAGAGGUCCCGGGUUCGAGUCCCGGCGAGACCC